rnacentral:rRNA from 1 species
UACGAGGGGGGCGAGCGUUGUUCGGAAUUACUGGGCGUAAAGGGUGCGUAGGCGGUCGGGUAAGUCUGAUGUGAAAUCUCACAGCUUAACUGUGAAACUGCAUUGGAUACUAUCCGGCUAGAGGAAUGGAGGGGAGACUGGAAUACUUGGUGUAGCAGUGAAAUGCGUAGAUAUCAAGUGGAACACCAGUGGCGAAGGCGAGUCUCUGGACAUUUCCUGACGCUGAGGCACGAAAGCCAGGGGAGCAAACGGG